rnacentral:tRNA from 1 species
GCUGGCGUAGCUCAAUGGUAGAGCACCGGUUUUGUAAACCGGCGGUUGCCGGUUCAAGUCCGGCCGCCAGCUCCA